rnacentral:rRNA from 1 species
CAGCCGCCGCGGUAAUACGGAGGGUGCAAGCGUUAAUCGGAAUUACUGGGCGUAAAGCGCACGCAGGCGGUUUGUUAAGUCAGAUGUGAAAUCCCCGAGCUUAACUUGGGAACUGCAUUUGAAACUGGCAAGCUAGAGUCUUGUAGAGGGGGGUAGAAUUCCAGGUGUAGCGGUGAAAUGCGUAGAGAUCUGGAGGAAUACCGGUGGCGAAGGCGGCCCCCUGGACAAAGACUGACGCUCAGGUGCGAAAGCGUGGGGAGCAAACAGGAUUAGAUACCGUGUAGUCCCUGUCUCUUAUACA